GAAGAGCUCGUCUACUCAGGGAAAAUAAUUGAAAACACCUGCCAGAGUGAAACAUGGAUCACUGUCACCAUAGUCCAUCUGGAUACUGUCACACCUCUUGUUUGCAUCUGCGGAGUCGGUGUCAGCUACGGUGUGUAUGAUCCCUGUGGUGGACUCAAACUGAAGGAGUUAUUGAAGCUCCCCUUGUAUCCUGCAGAUGGUGCCACAGGAACACAAUUACAACAAUGCCUGUACGGGAAACAAAGACAGUCCAUGUAGCCCACUGAGCUUCAGUAUGGCACCAUUCUGCCCUCUUACUGUCUCAGACAAAGAGCUGUCCUUUUGCCCCCUGGAUGUCUUCAAAGUCACCAGGAUUGUGUUGUCAGACCUCUGGGAGGGAGGCAGAGGUAUUGUGCUUCAUCAGAUAUAAACCCAGCAGAGAAUCUGUGCAGGACGGUACAGAAAGUUCAAACUGAAAGGGCAGAAAACUCUCCCCGCCUCUCCGUCUGACAAGGUCACUGCUCUGGAGUUCUAUGAAAGGAAUCGAAUAUAUUUCAAUCAUAUUAACAAUUAUUCAGUUAAUCUCUCUGAAAUGCUAACUGUGAUACAAUUAUUUACUCAUUGUCUCGAUUAUAUUGACCAAAAUUCCUUUUAAAAAUAGUUCAUUAAAAGUCCCAUUGCUUUUGCAUGUAUUGUAUCACUUCCACAUCUUGUGGUGAAUAUGGAGAGUUUCUAAUUGGCCAGAUUCCAGAAGCUGCACCUCCAGACUUCUGGCAGCUCCAGAGGCUACUUGAAAUGGAAACUUCUCAAAUACAUCCGUACAUGUUUGAGCCAAAAUCUGAUCCGAAAUAUGAGAGUGGAUGGCGCGAACAGCCCACGGAACAACUUUGCAACAAAGACUGCCAACGGACAGCCAUUUGUUGGUAUGCAUGAACAAUCUGAUAUCAUCACAAGGAGGAGGUAGAGGCCCUGGCUUUUG